AUGUUCUCGUCGCAGUCACUCAGCCGCGUCAACAACAUCUGCACGGCGCUGAUCAAUGCACAGAAGGGCAAUCAAUCGGUGGACACCUACUUCGUCGCCAUGAGGGGCCUCGCCGAUGAGGCCGCGGCGGGCAAACCCAUCCAGGACGACGAGCUCAUGUACUACAUCAUCCACGGGCUGGACCAAGACUACCAGCCCCUUGUCUCUGCCUUGGACGCCCGCGUCACUCCGGUAACUCUUGAUGAGCUUUUUGCCAUGCUUAGCAACUUUGAUCAGCGCAUGGUGCAGUACCAUGGCUCCGGCGGU
rnacentral:rRNA from 1 species